CCCCCCCCCCCCCCCCCCCCCCCCCCCCAGGAGAUAUCUCCUGGAGGGAGGAUGGGCUGUGGGAAGAUAAAGAUGAUUGCCCAGCUGGUUUAAAGCUGGCCCAUGAGCAGAUAAUGUGUGCCAGGAGAUCAGGGGCACUGCCCCAUGGCUGCAGCAGAUGGGACAGAAUCCACAUUGCUGGCCACAUCAACCCAACACAUUAGCCAAGGCUCUGCCCCACAGCCUCGCUCCUCCCGGCUCUGGGCCAGUGCCAGCCCCUGCAGCCAAAUCUGCUUUGUUUUCCUGGAAAGGCAGCACUUCCCAGGGAUCUUGGAGGAAAUGAUCCCCUGGAAGUGGGUGUUCCACCCCGUUCAGCAAGGUUCAGCUAGUGCAGGUAGGGGCUUCUGCCCCCUUCCCUGGGAGAGGAGUGUCCAGGCAGGAAUUCCCAGCAGGAAUCCUUGGCAGGGCUGGUGCCAUGAGCAGGAGGUUCCUGCAGUCCUUGCAGGAGCUGCAGCUUGUGGCAGUGACAUUCCAUCUGCAGGCCCUGGCAGCACCCCCAGGGGUCCCAGGCCAGGGGGGUGGGUGUUCCAUGUUUUGGGAGUGGGCUCCAACACCCCUCUGAGCUGUUCACAGCUGGGGCUGAGCUGUUCACAGCUGGGGCUGAGCUGUUCUCCACAGCUGGGGCUGAGCUGUUCACAGCUGGGGCUGAGCUGUUCUCCACAGCUGGGGCUGAGCUGUUCACAGCUGGGGCUGAGCUGUUCUCCACAGCUGGGGCUGAGCUGUUCACAGCUGGGGCUGAGCUGUUCUCCACAGCUGGGGCUGAGCUGUUCACAGCUGGGGCUGAGCUGUUCUCCACAGCUGGGGCUGAGCUGUUCACAGCUGGGGCUGAGCUGUUCUCCACAGCUGGGGCUGAGCUGUUCACAGCUGGGGCUGAGCUGUUCUCCACAGCUGGGGCUGAGCUGUUCACAGCUGGGGCUGAGCUGUUCUCCACAGCUGGGGCUGAGCUGUUCACAGCUGGGGCUGAGCUGUUCUCCACAGCUGGGGCUGAGCUGUUCACAGCUGGGGCUGAGCUGUUCUCCACAGCUGGGGCUGAGCUGUUCACAGCUGGGGCUGAGCUGUUCUCCACAGCUGGGGCUGAGCUGUUCACAGCUGGGGCUGAGCUGUUCUCCACAGCUGGGGCUGAGCUGUUCACAGCUGGGGCUGAGCUGUUCUCCACAGCUGGGGCUGAGCUGUUCACAGCUGGGGCUGAGCUGUUCUCCACAGCUGGGGCUGAGCUGUUCACAGCUGGGGCUGAGCUGUUCUCCACAGCUGGGGCUGAGCUGUUCACAGCUGGGGCUGAGCUGUUCUCCACAGCUGGGGCUGAGCUGUUCACAGCUGGGGCUGAGCUGUUCUCCACAGCUGGGGCUGAGCUGUUCACAGCUGGGGCUGAGCUGUUCUCCACAGCUGGGGCUGAGCUGUUCACAGCUGGGGCUGAGCUGUUCUCCACAGCUGGGGCUGAGCUGUUCUGCACAGCUGGGCUCCCCCAGUAGAUCCAUGGCUGAAUCCCUGGGGUCUCCUGGUUCCCUUUUCCUGUGUUCCUGUGGAGCUGCUGAACCAGGGCCCGACUAUUCCAUGGGUUUUGCUGAAGGAAUGCACUUGUCCCAGUAUGAGCAGAAUGUUCUGGGCCUGUCUGACCUCCAGCCAGGACUCCAGCCUGUGCCAUGGCUCCAGGAGAGCAGUGAGCAGUGCCUUCCUCAGGGGCCAGGACUGGGACCAGUGCUGGGAAACACCAGUGACAGGGCCACUGGAGCCAGGACUGGCACUGGGAACUGUCCCUGUUGGUGACAGGGCCACUGGAGCCAGGACAGCCCCACACAGUGCCAGGACAGGGAGCUGGGGCUGUGUCACACCUGCAGGGAGGGAUGCAGAGGCUCCUGCACAGCCUGGAGAGCUGGGACCUGAAAUCCCUGUGCCCUGGGCUGGGGCAGCAGGAAAGGCAUUGGGAUUCUGCCCCUCUGCCCCACUCAGGUGAGGCCUCACCUGCAGAUCUGGCCCAGCACAGGGAGCAGCUGGAGCUGCUGCAGAGAGCCCAGAGAGCUCUGAGCCAGGCUGGGAGAGCUGGGGGUGCUCAGCUGGAAAGGAGAAACUGCAGGGAGGGAGAGCACACAGGGAAUGGCUGCAGAGUAGGGUUUGAUGGGACCUUGGGAAUUAGGAAUUGUUCCCUGGGAGGGGCUGGGAUGGAUUCCCAGAGAGCUGUGGCUGUCCCUGGAUCCCUGGCAGUGCCCAAGGCCAGGCUGGACACCGGGGACAGUGGGAGGUGUCCCCAUGGCUGGGGUGGGAUUAGAUGGGAUUUAAGGGCUCUCCCAGCGCAGACAUUGUGUGUUUCCACGACUCCCCAGAGGGAUGAGGCUGCAGUGCCCCAGCCCCACGGCUCUGUGCAGGCGGGCAGCCCAGGUGAGCCUCACCUGCUCCAGCUCCUGCUCGGCGUACUUCUGGCGGCUGAGCUCGUUCUCGGUGCCCUCGCGCAGCUCGCGCAGCCGGUGCGCCUCCUGCUUGGCCAUGCUGAUCUCGUCCUGCAGCUUCUUCUCCAGGUGCACCUUCUCCACCUCCACCGAGCGGUGCUCCUCCUGCGCCUUCUGCAGCCUGAGGGCACAGGGACAGGCUGGGCUGGGCUGGGGACAGGGCUGGGGACAGGGACAGCUCUGCCCCCCCCCCCCCCCCCCCCCCCCCCCCCCCCCCCCCCCCCCCCCCCCCCCCCCCCCCCCCCCC
ensembl:lncRNA